AUGGGGAACAGCAAAGCUACUGACCUAUUCAAUUUCAUCAUCAAUACUCUAGCCCUUCGAGAAAUACACAUUAGUGGGGGUAAAUAUACCUGGACCAACAAUCAGGCUCACCCCACCCUAGAAAAGCUAGAUCGCAUCCUGAUGUCCGAGAGUUGGGAAGAUGCUUUCCCAAUGGUCUCUGUGAGGAAAUUAGUUCGAGAAAUAUCUGACCAUAACCCCUUGUUGCUCUCCUCUGGGGAAGAAGGGCGUGAAGCGCCAAAACCUCGAGAAUUUCAUUUUGAUCUUUCAUGGAUCAAAGAUGACAGCUUCUUGCCCACUGUUGGAAGAAUCUGGGCUAGGAAAGUUGCAUCGACCGACCCAAUAGAUGUCUUGAAUAUCAAGUUGAAAAGAUUUAAGACCUACUUCAAAGGGUGGGGCUCAGACAAGUAUGGGCACGAUAAGAGAAGAAAAGAGGAGCUUCGCAUAAAACUGUCUAUGCUAGAGGAAUUAGAAGAGGAGGAUAUGUUGCCCCUGACCUUUAUAGUAGGAAGGUUGAUAUUAGUGCUGAGCUCUAUGAGAUUUUGGUGA
rnacentral:rRNA from 1 species